rnacentral:lncRNA from 1 species
AUGCAUUUUGAGAUUGGGACAGUUGGAAGGUAUACAAGGGAGGCAACUCCUGGAAUAGUAAUUCCUGGAACUGGAAGACCACAUUCCUGGAACUGGAAGACUACAUUCUCCCAUGGAUUUUGGAGGACUGCAUAUUCUUGUUUUAGACCUUUCUCCUACUCACUAAAUCUCCUUCCUAUUCCAACACAAAUAACAGUUAUAGCAACAUCUAGUUCUAGCUGAGUGACACAUAAUGGUGUCAGUCAGCUGGAACUAAAUACAAUUUAAUCAAUGGACUAAGAAUUGUGAUUCAGAUUGAAAGCAACCCCGGCUAACGCUAGUAUAUAGUGCAUGCAAAAUGUAUUUGCAACUGUGUGUUUACUCACUGGUGUUUGGGUGUAUUUGUUAAUCACAUGCAACACAAUCCAAAAAUCAGGAUUCUCUAUAGGAAGGAUGCUUCCACUUGCAAACUAUUUGAAUGAGAAAAAGAACACCCCAUAGAAAUUUCUUUUAAAAUGCCUUGGCCCAUGCUUCCUAUUAAUUCUACACCAUCCCACUUUUUAAAAAAAUGUCCUAAUUCAUCUCUCUUCAAAGUGGAAAACUAGGAUGGAUAACUUUAUGGGAGUAACAUCUUUGUAAAUGAAUAUAGGCAAUCUAUUGGAUCGUUUCAUGAUAUCUAU